AUUCCAUCGUGAUCGCAUUCUGGGUGAGCCUGGCUGCCUUCGUGGUGCUGCUCUUCCUCAUCUUGCUCUACAUGUCCUGGUCCGGCUCCCCGCAGAUGAGGAACAGCCCCAAGCACCACCAAACAUGCCCCUGGAGUCACGGCCUCAACCUCCACCUCUGCAUUCAGAAGUGCCUGCCGUGCCACAGGGAACCCCUGGCAACCUCACAGGCUCAGGCGAGCUCAGUGGAGCCAGGGAGCAGAACUGGCCCUGACCAGCCGCUACGACAGGAGAGCUCCUCCACCUUGCCCCUCGGGGUUUUCCAGACCCAUCCCACUCUCCUCUGGGAAUUGACCCUCAAUGGGGGUCCCCUCGUCAGGAGCAAGCCCAGCGAGCCUCCCCCUGGAGACAGGACCUCUCAAUUGCAGAGCUGAUGUCAGUAAAUCGUGGCCAUAGCUGAGUGAACUGGUGAAAUCAAGCCAACCUGGACACAUACGUUCCUCAUUCUUCUUAGAGGCCAUUUGCAUGUAGCAGAAAGGGCGCCUAGGUCAAGUGCAACUAGAGCAGGAGCAUCCUAUGCCUUUGACAAAGAUUACAGUGGCCCCUCGAGUGCAGAGGUCAUCCCAGGUGUUGCUGAGUUUAUUGAGCACACCUAGCCUGCUUUUUUACUGCUUAUAUUUGCUUAGGGAAGAGUAGGAAAAUAAAAUAUACGCAAAUCAAGAGGAAAA
rnacentral:sRNA from 1 species